rnacentral:lncRNA from 1 species
CACGUAGAGAAAAAUGAUCAUGAUACUUGUGACACAUAUGCCAUACCCAAGAUUGCUUUACUAUUGAAUGUUUCAUAAACUUUGUGUUAUUAAUCUUCUUUACCAUAGUUUGGCUAUAUGGAGUGGGAGGAAAAUUGGUGUGCCUUGUGGUAGUGAACACCACCCAAAGGGUGGCGUAAUGGGCAUGUUCGGCUGUGAUUCGAACCAUUGCUGACCACGGUUCGCUCGUUCUCUCUCUCUCUCUCUCUCAAAUGUACAACACAUCAAUACAUAGAGUACAAGUAAGUAAGAUGAUGUAGAGUGGUGAUCAUUUCCUACAUGUAUGGUGACAAAGUGGCAGUGAUGUGAUACUUCUAAAGUAUCAAAACGAAAAUAUAUAGAUGGAACACAAAUGGUGAUAACUUGAUUCAUAAUUUAAUUAAUUGUGUAAUGUUAUCUAACAUGUUUAUCUGUCUUUUAAUAGAAAAUGAAAUAUUUGGACUAGUUACAACAAAAUGGUAUGUGUCAAGUAAUGUCUUUAUAUCGGGGUAUGUAGAAGACUAGAAGAGAAUAUUACGCUAAAGAAUAUUCAUGGAAUUUAAUUGGCAUCUUCUAAAAUUGAUUAUGAUGGUCCAUCCUUUUCAAAUACAAGUAGACUUUAACGAAGCAACAAAUUCAAAAACUUUCAAAUCAUUGAACGUCAAACUCAACUGAUUUUCUCAAAGUUCUAACCAUCAAUAUGGAUAUAGAUGAUUUAGCUUUUUUUAUUUCUAAGAAAAAACAUAAACAUCAAAGAAUGAUUUAUAUGGUUUGCGAGUAGAUGAUUUAACAAAGUUAAGAAGAAGUAACGUAUACGAAGAAGUAAUAUAUUUCAAUCAAAUAAAAAAAUUAUUUUUAUUACAUUUUCUUAACUUUGUUAACAACAAAUAAAAAAAAUUAUUUUUACCCUAGAUCAUCCCACAUAAAACUUGUUAGGCCCUUGGUCACCACAAGACCAUUUGUGGCAUAUGUGGAGCAUCGGCCACGGUUGUGUACACCAAUUACAUGAGAGAGUUUGAUGUUAAUUUCUUUUGAUUAUUCAUUUAUUAGUUUAUAAAUCGUGGGAACCAUGAUUANAUAAAAAUUUAUAAUUAUUAAUAAGUUAUUUUAAUAAUUUAUUUUAAAUAAAUUAUUAAUUAAGAGAUAUAUCAAAUUUUUAAAGUUAUUAUAACUUCAAAUUUAACAUAUAAUUAGAAAAUAUAAAUUUGAAUUUUGAAAUGAGUUGUCUAAUAUAUCUACAUGACAAAUAUCAUAAUAUUAAUGAAAAGUUAUAUUAUAGUGACAAUUGGCAAAAAAAAAAAAAAUUAAAACUAUUCAUUUAUUAGAAUAUGGAUUAUGACUUUUAACAACUAGUUUAAAAAAAAUCCAUAUUUCCUAUAAAUCAUUUUACUAUAAUUUUUUAUACCAUUUUUUUCUUCUUACUAUACAAACCAAAAUACAUACACAAACAUACCAUGGAACAAUCUUUGGGAUAAAAAGAAGAAAUUGUGUUAGCUCGUGUUUGGAUUUCAGUGUCCGGCAAUCCUUUGUAAAAAAGAGAAAUAUUUUGGUAAUAUAUUUGAAACCACUUCCACAACGAUUGUUGGGUUAAUCGGUUGGUUCAGCGGGUCAUGGGUCGGAUCUAGUUAAUGAUCUAGGAGUGUUUGAUUGAGUCAUGUUGAAAUAAAGGGAUUAUACACAUGUUUUAGAAUGUGCACAACAGAAAAGGUCAACUUUGACCAAGUUUAUAGGAAAUCACAAGAUAUGCAUGUGCAUGUUUAGUCUAAAUAGGUGUCUUAUUUCCUUUGUUAUGUAUCUCUAUUUUUUAUUGAAUUGAGAAGCUUUAUCCUAACAAGUUUACUUUCAGAUACAUACGUGACUAGUGUGUGUUGUGUGUGUUUAUUGUUAAGGACCUGUGUCAACAAUUGGUAUCAGAGCUUAGGGAUCGUGAAGAGGAACAAGGUCGGUUUGAGAGUCGGUUUCACAAAAGGGGGUAGCCCUUCGCUGCAAGGCAGAUGCAGCAGGAAACCGGGGUUUCAGGUGAAGAGGGUGAUGGAUUGUCGGUAGUGGGUUGAUCACAACUGGUCUUAGCAGCUGUUAUCGGCGAGGUUUGAAAGUGAAGCAGCCGGUGGGUCGAAGGUAAACAGAUGCUAUGAAGGUGUUGGUGUUCGUCACUGGUUAAUGGCGGAGAAGGUUUGUCAGCUGAUGGGUUUCUUUGGCGGAUGUCAUUAGUUUUUGGUGGUGUCCGACAAGGUGGUGAUUCCAGCGGUAGGUUGUGGGUAUGUCACCGGAAAAUGGAGAGAGUUACCGGAGAUGCAUGAGAAAAUGAACAGAAAAGAUCCGUCAAGCAGGUGGCUUUGGGUUUGUUUCGUUUUUACAGGUGAAAGAAGACGGGAAAAGCGGGUUGCUUUGUUUUCUUGAUCGGUGGAAGACGACUCUCGUUUCACAGAAGUGUUAGGUGAAAACGGAUUUUGUAUGGUGACAAACAAUAUCCGGGUAUGGAGGACUUUGUACGUGACCGAGGUGAAGGUCCGUUGUCCGGGAAAAGUAGGGAUUGGAUGAAGACUUUGGACGUGACCGAGGAGGAAGUUGGGUGUCCGGGAAAGGUCUUGAAUCGAGAUGAAAAGAGGGUGAUUAAAGGCUGUUUGUGAACAAAUGGUGUGAACAACCGAUUAAGGGGGUGAUUGUUUGGUUAAUCGGUUGGUUCAGCGGGUCAUGGGUCGGAUCUAGUUAAUGAUCUAGGAGUGUUUGAUUGAGUCAUGCUGAAAUAAAUGGAUUAUACCCAUGUUUUAGAAUGUGCACAAUAGAAAAGGUCAAGUUUGACCAAGUUUAUAGGAAAUCACGAGAUAUGCAUGUGCAUGUUUAGUAUAAAUAAGUGUCUUAUUUCCUUUGUUUUGUAUCUCUAUUUUUUAUUGAAUUGAGAAGCUUUCUCCCAACAAGUUUACUUUCAGAUACAUAUGUGACUAGUGUGUGUUGUGUGUGUUUAUUGUUAAGGACCUGUGCCAACAAUGAUAUGAGAAAAGGUGUUUAUCGGGAUCUCGAUGGACUUUUGUCAAUAUGACAUGAUAUGAGGUUAAAAAUAACCGAGUUCAACCACAUUUGCAAGGAAUUCGAAAACACACAUCCAAAUAGAAGUAACGACUCUGAGGUAAUCGAUGUGGCACUUAAACCAUCCAAGAAUCCCAACUUAACCCUAAG